rnacentral:rRNA from 1 species
UACGAAGGGGGCUAGCGUUGUUCGGAUUUACUGGGCGUAAAGCGCACGUAGGCGGAUUGUUAAGUGAGGGGUGAAAUCCUGGAGCUCAACUCCAGAACUGCCUUUCAUACUGGCAAUCUAGAGUCCGGAAGAGGUAAGUGGAACUCCUAGUGUAGAGGUGGAAUUCGUAGAUAUUAGGAAGAACACCAGUGGCGAAGGCGGCUUACUGGUCCGGUACUGACGCUGAGGUGCGAAAGCGUGGGGAGCAAACCGG